GUAGUCUCGCACAGAUGCAUAUCAAUAAGCGGAGGAAAAGAAACUAACAAGGAUUCCCCUAGUAACGGCGAGUGAAGCGGGAAGAGCUCAAAUUUGAAAUCUUAAAGGGUUUUCCCUUGACGAAUUGUAGUUUAAAGAAGUGUUUUCUGUUGAAGUUUUGGUAAAAGUUCUUUGGAAUAGGACAUCAUAGAGGGUGAGAAUCCCGUAUUUGACCAUUAUUUUCAGCUGUGUGAUACACUUUCAAAGAGUCGGAUUGUUUGGGAAUGCAGUCCAAAAUGGGUGGUAAAUUUCAUCUAAAGCUAAAUAUUGGCGAGAGACCGAUAGCGAACAAGUACCGUGAGGGAAAGAUGAAAAGAACUUUGAAAAGAGAGUUAAACAGUACGUGAAAUUGUCAAAAGGGAAGCGUUUGACACCAGUGUUGUUUUCUCGAAAAUCAAUUAAAAAGAGUUAGAUUUUGUUGUGUAUUGACCUUAACAGCUUGCAUUUCAAUUUUCUUGCUUUUUUUAAUGCACUUUUCGUUUAACAAGUCAACAUCAGUUUCUUUUGUUGUAAAAAGGUCAUUGGAAGGUGGCUUUCUUUUCGGAGAAAGUGUUUAUAGCCUUUGACUCCUGCAAUCGGAGAGACUGAGGUCUGCAGCGUAGAUCCUUCGGGAUUAGAUACAUUUGUGCUGAGUUAUAGCUUUUUAUAGACAACUUGUUGACUAUGACUAGUCUUGUAGCUUACUCGCUUAUGCUAUUUUACCUACGCUUAGGAUGUUGAGCGCAUGUCUCUCUCU
rnacentral:rRNA from 1 species